AGAAGAAGUGGAUCUGGUGCAGAUGAGUUAUAUGUGCCCACCGCUUUUGGUUUGACCAGCUCCAUUUCCUUAGAGAUUUCGUGACUGUCAGAAAAGGAAUAUCAAGUUUACCAAAGGAUGUCGUUUUAAAUUCUAUGUCUGAAAAUGAAGAUCAGUUAUCCCAAAAUAUGAAUUUCAUCGAAGACAUAUCUGACUACAGAGAAGGGCCCUUAACAAUUAAACGUAAAAAAGGACAUGAUUCUGAUACUACUUGCGAUAGCUUAUUGAAAGAUGCAAGCAAUAUUAUAUCCGUCCUGAAGGAAUCUUUUAACCUACCAAAAUAUGAUGAGAGCCUAGUAAUUUUUUUUAAAGCAAAUAUGGAAGAAAUAACAGACAAAUAUCUUAAAGAUGAAGUUACUUCAAAGGUCAUGAUUCUGUUAUUUGAAUACAAAAAGA